rnacentral:misc_RNA from 1 species
UUAAAACUAAAAAAUAAGUAGAUAUUGGGCCCAUACUAGCACGGGCACCUUUUUCUAGUGUUAUCAUAAGGGCAAAAUUCAUGGAAAAUUCAAAAUUGAUCAAAAAUUAGCAAUAGACUCUUCCUUUGAUAAAUAUAAGAUUGUACUAUGCUUGAUAUCAAAAUUCCUCCUGAUAUCACAGCCGGGGUGGAUGGCUUCAACACUAAGCAUUUCCUACUACGACAUUUUUGCGUGACCUCUUCCUUGAUCUCUUCCUGCUUCUCACAGUUCCCUCACCAUUCUUGUUUUCCUUUCCCAAGGUCGUGAUUGUAUCCACAGGCUUCUUCUUCUUCUUCUUCACAGAGAGUGGAUUUGGACCCUUAGCUUUCUUUCUCUUGAAACGAACUUUAUCCUUGACAUCACUUCCAUUCCUCUGAAGAUUUGUAUUGAUAAUCUGAGCCUGUGAAACAUCAUCUGUCUCUCCCUCUGAUGCAUUGGAAGAAUCCCCUUGUUUGACAUCGGACAGUUUCCUCUUUUUCCCCUGUCUAAGCAUGUUGUACUCCAGGUCAGUCAUGUGAAGACGUUUUUCUUCAGCAGAUUUGGCAAACUCACGUUGAAAUGAUGAUGGUUGUUCGAGAAAUAAUGCAUUCCUAAGAGCAAAAAUUAGGGGCACACCAGGUAUCUUCUGAAGACUUCUACGCAUAUCUGCAUCUUGAGUAGCAACAAAAAAGUGUUCAGGAUUGUUCUCCCCAAUAACUUCAGUUAUGCAAUCUUCAGCACUUUUGCGUGUCUCAUGGUCACAUCGUGCAGUAAAAAGGUUAUUAGCUGCAUUCAGUGAUUCCUGAUAGUUACCACCAAGACUCUUCAACUCCGCAAGAACGCAUCUUGUGGUGAAUAGUUUAACUGGGGCACCUAGAAUAUUUGUCAAUGCAGUAUCAGCAGGUGUAAUGCGAUUAACAACAAGAUGAUGCACAAAUGUUCCAUCACAGAAGAUUUUAAAAGGCUCUCUAAACCCAAAACAAGCCGUGUAAAACCUCACAGCUCUCCUAUGCCGCUUCUGCUUUUUCACCCUCAUCUGGACAGGUGAAUCGUCAACCGACUAUAACUGCUAAAAAUAGAUGAUGAUCAGCGAUUUGAAGGUUGACGGCAAUCGGCGCCGGCGAUUAGGAGAAUCAAAA